UGUCACUCUUCUUCCCCGCUUUUCAUUGUAGAUGGAUUUUCAACACUUGCUUCUGAUCAAUUUAUUGAUAUCAUGUAGUUCUGCUCAUGUAGAGAUAAUGAAUUUUCAAAAUUGGCUUCUGAUCCACAUAUCAAAUUCAUGUGGUUUCCCACAUCCACCGGUAUCCCUCCAUCUUUAGUCUCGAUCUCUGAUAAUCAGACACAGGAUAAAACGUAUGCCUAUUACACGUUUGAAUUCAGUUUGUCACGGUUCUAGGCUUAAUUAUCAUAUAUAAGCACAGUCCUGAUGGUAACUAAAAAAUAAGCUUCCAAAGCUUACUUUACUAUCUUUGGUCUUCUCUCGAUAGACUAAAAUCGUUUUGAUGUUGCAGGCAUUGCAUUGUGCAUUUAGCUUUUUGAAACAUAUAUGAGUUCCUAACUGUUCGCCUUUGUGAAAUGUUGUGAAUUAUGAACUCCGCACGGAGAACCACCAGAUCAAAAGGAGCAUGUGUGUCAGCUUUUCACAUUUUAAUAGACAGAGCUCAGAAGGGAUCAGUAUUGCUUCGUCCAUUUAAAUGAAUCUUAUCUUCAAUAAUGGUGGCCGCUUAUGUAUAGAUUUCGAAGCAACGGAGUCUACUGUACUCAGUCAUGUCAAGAGGUACAAAAAUAUUUGAUAGAAAUUUGAGAAUUUCCUUGGCAACUGCAUGGAAGAGGCUCGAUGAAUAAAGGUUCCUAACUACCUUACUGUACUUUUAAAAUUUCUAAACGUCUUCACCUUAUAUAAACCUGAUCGUUUUAAGACAAAUGAAAUUGUAAUAAACAACUAACUGCUACGAUUUGGAGGGUCUGGAAAAAGACUCCAGCAUGAUGGAGAAUGAGAGGAACAAACUAAUAUGUAAGGAUUGAGAGGAUGACGUAUAAAAAAUAAGAGAGUCAAUAAGAAGUCGAUUGUUGUGUUGUGCAAUUGAAUUAGUAGACCAUAACUUAAACUUACAUCUUACAAAUUAUAUCCAAAUAUAGAAUAUACAGAACAAUAAGAAGUAAGAUGAGACCAUUGACAUAUCAUUUGUGGUGAGGAAGUGUGAGUUGCUCCGGAAAUUCACUUUUUUUAAAAACACAGUCUUUUCCUUAAUUAGAUCUCACAAUCUUCUCUAUCUUUUGCUUCUUCAAAUUACAAAUACCUGUAGCAGCAAUAUGAUAUUUGAAACCAUAC